GGGGUAUAGCUCAGUUGGUAGAGCGCGUGCUUAGCAUGCACGAGGUCUGGGGUUCGAUUCCCCAUUCCUC
rnacentral:tRNA from 1 species